rnacentral:rRNA from 1 species
GACGAACGCUGGCGGCGUGCUUAACACAUGCAAGUCGAACGGAAAGGCCCUGCUUUUGUGGGGUGCUCGAGUGGCGAACGGGUGAGUAACACGUGAGUAACCUGCCCUUGACUUUGGGAUAACUUCAGGAAACUGGGGCUAAUACCGGAUAGGAGCUCCUGCUGCAUGGUGGGGGUUGGAAAGUUUCGGCGGUUGGGGAUGGACUCGCGGCUUAUCAGCUUGUUGGUGGGGUAGUGGCUUACCAAGGCUUUGACGGGUAGCCGGCCUGAGAGGGUGACCGGCCAAAUUGGGACUGAGAUACGGCCCAGACUCCUACGGGAGGCAGCAGUGGGUAUAUUGCACAAUGGGCGGAAGCCUGAUGCAGCAACGCCGCGUGCGGGAUGACGGCCUUCGGGUUGUAAACCGCUUUCGCCUGUGACGAAGCGUGAGUGACGGUAAUGGGUAAAGAAGCACCGGCUAACUACGUG